rnacentral:lncRNA from 1 species
AUGGCCCUAUGGAUAAGCACAAAGUCAAGAGACAGUGAUUGAACAGAAUUUGUGAAGGGUGAAGGUAUCCGCUUUCAGACCGUGAACAGGCCCUUUGCACCCCAGCACCCCCCAGCCCCCAGUGGCACUGCUGGACUGAGGCCACUGCACCGUGGAGAUGACUAUCCUGAAAAACUUAGCCACCGUGGCCUUCUGUGACACGCAGUCCACACAGGAGAUCCAAGAGUAGGUUUAAACGAAGCGGUAGGCACCAUGAGGCACCACACCACCACCCUCAACAGGGAGGACUUGGAGAGGUUAAAAGCCCUGAGAGUGACCGUGCAGAUAGGCAGCAGCUACGACUAUGAGAACAUCAGGGCUGCCAGCAAGCUCAGGAUCGCUGUGUGCAGCAUCCUGUCCAUAGCAGUGGAACAGAUAGUCAAUUCCACUUCCAUCUGUACCGGAAGAACAGGUGGCUGUACCAGACGCUGCGGGAAGCGAUGCGGGUACAGAGUAUGGAGCAGAUCCGCGAGGUCAACUCGGGAGGAGCCUACAUCUUAGGGAGAUGGUGGGCCUCAUCGGCUGCAAUUGCAGGGGGCAGGCAGUUGCUGUUCUAUCCAAGGUCUUUGGAUUGAGUGUCAUAUUUUAUGACCCCUACUUGCAGGAUGGGAUAGAAUGGUUCCUGGGCCUGCAGAGGACCUACACCCUGCAGGAUUUGUUGUAUCAGAGACACUGCGUCUCCUUACACUGUAAUCUCAAUGAACAUCACCACCACCUCUUUGAUGGUGAUGGUGACUUUACUAUAAAGUAGAUGAGGCAAGAGGCAUUCCUUGCAAAUGUAGCCUGGGGCAUCCUGUUGGAUAAGAAAGCCUUAGCUCAGGGCCCUCAAGGAGGGCAGGAAAGGAGAGGCAGCCCUCCAAGUAUAUGAAUAGGAGCCCUUCAGCUGUGUUCCUGGUCCAUUGAAAGAUGCACCAAAUUCUAUCUGUACUCCCCACACCGCCUGGUAUAGUGAGCAAACAUCACUAGAGACAAGGAAGGCAGCUGCCACCAAGAUCUGCGAAGCCUUCACAUCCCAGAAAGCUUAAGAAACUGUGUGAACAAGGAAUUCUUUGUCACAUGAGCUCCUUGGUCAGUAAUAAACCAGCAAGCAAUUUAUCUCGAGCUCAAUGGUGUGCAUGCAGAUAUCGGCCAAACACGGUGGAUCUGGCUCCAGGAGGACUUCCUGCCGCCAUGGGAGGGAUCAUCCCUGGAGGCAUUCCAGUGAUUCACAAUCUCCCCACCGCGGCACACCCUUCCCAAGCUCCCUCUCCCAACCAGCCCAUAAAACAUGGGGACAAUCAAGAACACCCCAACGA